rnacentral:sRNA from 1 species
CAACAACCGAAAGGAGGUGAUCCAGUGUCUCAUUGUCCAUCGCCGCGAUUACCGGCAUCCGUGAGCUGGAUCCUUCCCGCUUUGAGGGGCCCAGCGAAUUGACGCGUCGCCCAAACGGCGCUCUGCGGGAUGAGCCGGAUCACGGCUCGACAAUGGAAGGGCUGCCCGCGAGGGCGGCCCU